rnacentral:rRNA from 1 species
AACGAACGCUGGCGGCAUGCCUAACACAUGCAAGUCGAACGAUGCUUUCGGGCAUAGUGGCGAACGGGUGCGUAACGCGUGGGAAUCUGCCCUUGGGUUCGGAAUAACAGUGAGAAAUUGCUGCUAAUACCGGAUGAUGUCUUCGGACCAAAGAUUUAUCGCCCAGGGAUGAGCCCGCGUAGGAUUAGCUAGUUGGUGGGGUAAUGGCCUACCAAGGCGACGAUCCUUAGCUGGUCUGAGAGGAUGAUCAGCCACACUGGGACUGAGACACGGCCCAGACUCCUACGGGAGGCAGCAGUGGGGAAUAUUGGACAAUGGGCGCAAGCCUGAUCCAGCAAUGCCGCGUGAGUGAUGAAGGCCUUAGGGUUGUAAAGCUCUUUUACCCGGGAUGAUAAUGACAGUACCGGGAGAAUAAGCUCCGGCUAACUCCGUG